rnacentral:rRNA from 1 species
UGCAGUCGAACGGUGACAUCAGAGCUUGCUCUGGUUGAUCAGUGGCGAACGGGUGAGUAACACGUGAGUAACCUGCCCUUGACUCUGGGAUAACUCCGGGAAACCGGGGCUAAUACCGGAUACGAGACGCGACCGCAUGGUCGGCGUCUGGAAAGUUUUUCGGUCAAGGAUGGACUCGCGGCCUAUCAGCUUGUUGGUGAGGUAAUGGCUCACCAAGGCGUCGACGGGUAGCCGGCCUGAGAGGGCGACCGGCCACACUGGGACUGAGACACGGCCCAGACUCCUACGGGAGGCAGCAGUGGGGAAUAUUGCACAAUGGGCGAAAGCCUGAUGCAGCGACGCCGCGUGAGGGAUGAAGGCCUUCGGGUUGUAAACCUCUUUCAGUAGGGAAGAAGCGAAAGUGACGGUACCUGCAGAAGAAGCGCCGGCUAACUACGUGCCAGCAGCCGCGGUAAUACGUAGGGCGCAAGCGUUGUCCGGAAUUAUUGGGCGUAAAGAGCUCGUAGGCGGUUUGUCGCGUCUGGUGUGAAAACUCAAGGCUCAACCUUGAGCUUGCAUCGGGUACGGGCAGACUAGAGUGUGGUAGGGGUGACUGGAAUUCCUGGU